UGGCACAGCAAACACCCAAGUGGGCUCGGUAGUUCCCUUGGCCUAACUCUGUGCUAGAGUAAUCUGUGCUUUACCCUCUGCAUUAGAAGGAGUAUCUUUCCUUUUACAUGUAUUCAAAAGGACAGAACACUU
rnacentral:snoRNA from 1 species